GAAGACGUUUCUGACACAAAACCCCAGGGGAAUCCACGGAGGAGCUGGGCUGUCAUUACUUAUUAACGGUGGGCCUGAUCCCCAGCCAGGCUGGCCCAGGGAAAUAGCCUGUAGGGAGGCCGGCCUCGCUGCUACCAGGUGGAUUAACACUUUCAGGGCGGGAGGGAGCUGCUUGGGGGGGGGUCAAUUGUCACAUUGUUGCAUGUAAGAGGGGCCAUUCUUUACACAUUAGACACAGGCGCCUUCUUCCUCUGCGUUCCCUCCCCCUCGGCGUCUGCAUUCUUCUCUUCCCUUCUCCUCCUGCCCGCUCUGGUUUUAAGCCAGCAAACCCACAGGAUGUGGGAGACUGCGCUCGCUCACAGGGAAGAGGAAGAUCUGAGAAAGCACACGGCCCGGAACCUGGGGAUGAUGUCUUCGGAGAGGGCCCGAGGAGGCGGGGAGAGGGAGAGGCAGCGGAGCCGCAGCGGGAGCCGGUACAUCCCGGUUGCAGACCGGGAAAGCCUGGCCCUGAGGGUGAAGUCACCGGGAAACGGAGGGUUCUCGGCCAGCAAUAAGGUGCCCACGGGUAUCAGGACGCUGGAGAAGGUCCCUCGCUGCUCCUCGCCACCGCGCUGUUGAAAUGACAUGGCUAUGGAGGAAUCCUUUCGUUCUGCAAGCGUAACCACAGGAAUCAGGAUGAGCGAAUUCCGCUCCCUGGAAACCCGGGGUGGCAUCUGCUUUGUCCGUAGAGCUCCUAAGCCAGAGUUCCAUAGCCUUUCAUGGCCUUCGUGUUGGGGAUCGAAAUAAAGCCCACGGAAUUCUCUGCUGGGAAAGGUGA
rnacentral:lncRNA from 1 species